UACGUAGGGGGCUAGCGUUGUCCGGAAUCAUUGGGCGUAAAGCGCGUGUAGGCGGUCCGGUAAGUCCGCUGUGAAAGUCCAGGGCUCAACCCUGGGAUGCCGGUCGAUACUGCCGGACUAGAGUUCGGAAGAGGCGAGUGGAAUUCCCGGUGUAGCGGUGAAAUGCGCAGAUAUCGGGAGGAACCCCAGUGGCGAAGGCGACUACCUGGCCUGUUUCUUGACGCUGAGGCGCGAAAGCUAGGGGAGCAAACGGG
rnacentral:rRNA from 1 species